GUUAUAAGAAAAGUGGUUCUGUCGACUGUGAAGUGCCUCACUGAAAGAGUCCACUUACGGUCACUGAGAGGUGAUAGCUGCAUCAUUUGAUUUGCCAUUAAAAAAAUUUUUAUCUUUUUCUAAGGUUCUUUGAAGAAGCAACAAAACUGUCUAAAUUACUGGCACAUCUGGCAAAUGCACAAGGAAACAAAAGGAAAUUAUCUGGCAGAGCUUCAUUGCUUGCUACUUUUAAUUGCAAUUUAAAAACAAAACAAAAAAAAGGUGAUCAAGCAUAAAAAAUCUGGUAGGUUCCAUAAGAAGUAAUUAUCUUUUUAUCAUGUUAACAAAAAAACCCACACCAAAUAGCAGUACUGCUCUACAAAAAGAAUGAACAGUAACCAUUUCCUGUACAAAUUUAUUCAAUACAGCCAAGGUAUGAGUGGGGGGAAAACAGAGUAUACUAGAAUAGUUUAAUAUUUAGCUAAUUGUGAUAUGUAAAACUAGGUAUCUGGUUCACAGAUCUUUCUUUGACCUUACUGCUGUGUACCUGCUACUUUCAAGAACAAAAUCUGUGCGAAAUUGAGGUUCUUCUCCUAAUACAAAAAAGUCAAAGAUAACUUUUUAAAAAUUAUUGUAUACUGAUACUUGUAUAUAAAGCAUUUGACAGAUUUUACAAGCGUAUGUAUAUGUAUGCACAUGCUUUUCAAUGUAAAUGAGGAAACAUGAACAUGUCAGUUACCAGAGACCAUACUUUGUCUGCCUCUACUAAAAUCUGCCAUGGAACUUACAUGAUUAUAAUUAAUGUGGCAGAUGGAGCUCAAUUGUAUUAUUUAUAUUUUAUUCUGUAUUAUAUUUAGUUUGGUUUGAUACUCUGAUUAACAGUUCUUUCCUGAACUGUU